rnacentral:lncRNA from 1 species
AGAGAACACUUCAGACCUCUCAUCUGACAUUCUUUUUCUUCAACCCUAAAAGAACAUGCAGCCAUCUCCACCUUCAAUCAAGAAACAUCCUUCAACAAAAAGACCAUAACCACCCAAUGACCACCCCCUGAACCGUUCAGCCCCUCAUAUAAAUGACCACUCUUAGAGCCGCCGCACAGCACUAUAAAAAGUAGAGACGCUGCUCAUUUCCCUUCUUCAACCAAACAUACCCAAGAGAACAACCAACCACCGUUGCCACCAGCCGCAAAUCCAACAGACCAGCAACCCCUCCUAGUUCUCUCAUCUCCCAUUAACACACCCACAUAAAAUAGAGGGUGAAGAUAAAUUUCGGACAGGUUUUGGAUAGAAAAGAAUGGGGUUCUUUAAUCACUGAUUCUUUUUUUUUUUGCCUCUUAAGAUACUAGAAAAUAGAACAAAAAAUAGGUUUCAAUAGUCUUCAGUUGAUUCCAAUUUCCAUCUUGCUAUGGAACUUGUUUGAAUUUCGUUGGUCCGAGUUCACUGUUCUUAUUUGAGAUCGAUCGCCGAUUUGAGAUUCCGUCCACAAUACGUCGUAUUCUUGAAUCCAAAGUUGCCUCAUAAUUAAUGUGCAG